UGAUGACUGAUUCAAGCUCUAUGCUACCAGUUUACUGAUGAUAGUUUACUGUUAGUAGUUUUUACACAUAGCUCAAAUAGAAAUGGCUGAGCUCUAUGCUAGUUCGGAAUUAGUGGGUAGUAGGAUUUUUUUCUGGUUGUGAUGGGGGAGGUGGUACAUUCUCCAUGCAGUAGUUUUUUUCUUCUACAAAUCUGUACCAUAACGAACACCUCAUCUUUAAGCACCCGUCAGUCUCUCGUUAAGUACACCUUAUAUGUGUUCCUUUUUCAUCACUUUUUUAGUUGUAUGAAUCUGUUUGUAAAUAAAAUAGUUAUAUAAAUGCAGCAUUCAUGCUUUUUUAAGCACUCUUGGUUCCCACUCAGUACUAAAAUCUCCCUAGGCAAUAACAUGGUUUUAUAUUGGCAAAUUUCUAUAUUUCAUUAGGCAAAAUGUAAGGUAUCAUUAGGCAAUUUUACCAGGGAAAGAGGCUCUCAACCUUCUGUUCAGCAUCAAGUUUAAUCUUGCGGAAAAAUUCAGAAUCUUCCUGUUCUAGUUCCUUAAAGUAUUCACAUGUCUCUUUUUAGGGUAACAUUGAUUCUUUUUGGUGCAAUUAUCUCUUGCUAAAAUAAGAUGGUAGUAUUUGCUGUUUUUUUCCUGUAUGCACUAAUAGCAAUGAUCCCAUUUUUACUGACAGCAGCUUUUACUGAUUUCAGUAUUCUAAUGACAGCAUGAUCCAUUUUACUGAUUUUUAGUUGUAGCAUGAUGAUAGUUUUUUUUCUGUUUAUGCAGUAGUUGACACACAGUAGUUACUAUUGCCUUCCAAACCUAUAGCGCAAGGGCACUUUCAGCACAUAACACACAACAGUUAGCCCUAUUGGCCUCUGUGCAGUCCAUUUUUGGAUGACUUGUUACAGUGCCAAGGGGCUAGAAGCAGCAACAAGGGCGCCCUCCAUCAUCCAAUGCGGGGUGCUUAUGUGAUCUUUUUCAUUGAGUUUGUUUUUAUGCGUUCGUAUUUUAGGCAAUAACGUGGUUUAUUAUCGACAAAUUAAUGUUCUCCAUUAGGCAAAUAAACCAGGAACAUUAGGCAACCCAAUCCAUGCAACUAAAUUUUCACUGCUAUGCGCAUCAGCUUUCUUUUACUCGAUUAUUAGCAACUCAUGCGGGUAAUCAGCAGGGACAAGUGCAGGUAUUACUUAACUUAUUUUUGCAGCUCAUCCAGCAACAGUAGCUUUUGAAUCAACUCAGCUUAUCAGGUUUGUUCAGACAUAUUGAGGUACUUCACUGCAUGAGCUAUUAUUUAUUCCAUUGCCACAGUGAUCUGUUACUCGAGUUGUCUUGCGGUCUUGCCUAGAAGUUGUCCGAUUUUUUGUUUAACCCCAUGUGUGGCCUGUAGCUUUUUUCCUUGCACUGUUAAUUUAAUCAUCUAUUGCUUUGUUAGGCCAUCAUGCUGUAGUUGUAUUGUUCCAGUAGCUAGCAGCUCUAUGUUUCCGUAUCAGCUAAUAACUCUAGCCACAGCCGCAACAGUUAUGUGCUUUUUGUUCAGAGCUUGCCUCUUGUGAAUUGGCUAAUUAGUAAGUUGGUUAAAUGGUGCAUUAUCAGCUGAUUGAUUUGCUCGUCUGGAUUAGCUCUAUUGUGCAGGCAGAUCAAUUCAGUAGUUGCAGCUACCGCUCGAUCAACAACUGCAAGUGGACAUAAGCAAAAUGCUCGGGUUUCACUCAGGUUCCCAAGUUAUCCUGCAGGGGAGAUCAAGUACAAUGCAUGAAGAAGACAUGAUAUGCAUGUGAACCAGCUCAAGUAAAUAAAUUUCUCAUCGAAUCGGCACAAUACAUGCUCUUCAUCUUGGUGUUUGGUGGCCUGAAAGUUCAUCAUAUUGUCAUUACCAGCAGUGUAGUUGUAGCUCAACCUCAAUUUUUGAUUCCUGAAUAGCAUCGUAGUAGUUGUAGUAGCUCUAAUCUUUUUGUUUGGUCAGUACAACUAUGGAGGCAAGCAGGCAAUCACAUGUAUGGUAGUAGUUUUGAAACUUUGUUAAUGCUUAGAAUUUAGAUAGGUGAAAUACGUUUAUAUA